AUUGAACGCUGGCGGCAAGCCUCACACAUGCAAGUCGAACGAGUGGCGGACGGGUGAGUAAUGUCUGGGAAACUGCCUGAUGGAGGGGGAUAACUACUGGAAACGGUAGCUAAUACCGCAUACCAUCGGAUGUGCCCAGAUGGGAUUAGCUAGUAGGUGGGGUAACGGCUCACCUAGGCGACGCUCCCUAGCCGGACUGAGAGGAUGACCAGCCACACUGGAAAGUAGACACGGUCCAGACGCCUAAGGUAGGCAGCAGGGGGGAAUAUGGCACAAUGGGCGCAAGCCUGAUGCAGCCAGGCCGAGUGUAUGAAGAAGGCCUUCGGGUUGUAAAGUACUUUCAGCGGGGAGGCGUUACCCGCAGAAGAAGCACCGGCUAACUCCGUGCCAGCAGCCGCGGUGAUAC
rnacentral:rRNA from 1 species